rnacentral:lncRNA from 1 species
CUGUAUGGUUCCUCUGACUUCCACUGUUUCCAGAACAACGCACACAUCUGACUUCCACUGUUCUCUUUAGAACAACAGAAAACAUUGACUUCAGAACAUCUGUAUUGGUCUCCUCUGACUUCCACUAUUCUCUUCAGAACAACCGAAAACAUCUGACUUCAGAACAUCUGUACUGGUCUCUCUCUUCCACUGUUCUCUUCAGAACAACAGAAAAAUCUGACUUCCACUUUUCUCUUCAGAAACACAACAACAUCUGAAUCCCUGUUCUCUUCAGAACAACAGAAAACAUCUGACUCCACUGUUCUUUUCAGAACAACAGAAAAACAUCUGACUUAGAACAACAGCACACAUCUGACUUCCACUGUUCUCUUCAGAACAACAGCACACAUCUGACUUCCACUGUUCUCUUCAGAACAACAGCACACACUGACUUCCACUGUUCUCUUCAGAAACAACAGCACACAUUGACUUCCACUGUUCUCUUCAGAACAUCUGUAUUGGUCUCCUCCAACUUCCACUGUUCUCUUCAGAAAACAAAACUCAUCUGACAUCCACUUCUCUUCGGAACACCGAACUCAGCUGACAUCCACUGUUCUCUUCAGAACAACAUAACACAUCCGACAUCCACUGUUCUCUUCAGAACAACAGAACACAUCUGACUUCCACUGUUCUCUUCAGAAGAACAGCACACAUCUGACUUCCACUGUUCUCUUCAGAAACCUCGUUAUGGUUCCUCCAACUUCCACGUGUCUCUUCAGAACAACAGAACACAUCUGACAUCCACCGUUCUCUUCAGAACAACAGAACACAUCUGACAUCCCCUGUUCUCUUCAGAACAACCGAACAAUCUGACUUCCACUGUUCUCUUAGAACAACAGAACACAUCUGACUUCCACUGUUUCUUCAGAACACAGAACACUUCUGACUUCCACUGUUCUCUCAGAACAACAGAACAACUCUGACUUCCACUGUUCUCUUCAGAACAACAGAACACAUCUGACUUCCACUGUUUUCUUCAGAACAACAGAACACAUCUGACUUCCACUGUUCUCUCAGAACAACAGACACAUCUGACUUCCACUGUUCUCUUCAGAACACAGAACACAUCUGACUUCCACUGUUCUCUUCAGAAAACCUAACACAUCAGCUGUUCUCUUCAGAACAACAGAACAACACAUCUGACUUCCACUGUUCUCUUCAGAACAACAGAAACAUCUGACUUCCACUGUUCUCUUCAGAACAACCAUCACACUCAGCUGUUCUCUUCAGAACAACAGAACACAUCUGUAUUGGUCUCCUCUGACUUCCACCGUUCUUUUCCCCUCUUCUUUUGAAUGGUUGAAGGAUGGAGGAUAGAUAGAAGCUUGUCCAGUUUGGUCCAACUAUUCACCUACACAGGGAUAUUAGAAUCCUGUAAUGACGCUGGGAGCUGGCGUCUGCUGUUACCCUUCUAGACCAGCCUGCAAUGCACCCCUCUAUGGAUACAUUUGGUUUUGGCUGAUUGGUUCCCCUUUGUGUGUCUACCAUUGCCUAUCAUAAGUGCCACUCCUCUCCGCUGUGCAUGUAUAAGCAUCAUGGAAGGUCAGAGUUCACUGCUGAUUUUUGAAGAGCGGACGGGCAUCGAGAGUCCAGGUUGCUACGACUAAAGCAGCUCUCUCUUCUCCUUCGGAACAUUAAAAUUAUUCUACCCCUGCAACCGUCCCAGUAAAGAUUGAGAGAGUCCACUAUCUUUACAGAUCAGCCUAUGAAACGUGUAACACCCACAUCAUACCCACAAGUAAGCUAUAUACAUAUACAUAUAUAGAUAUAUAUAUAUAUAUAUAAAACAUGUUUAUUUUUUUGCUCUGUCACUCUUAUAUAAUAAAUUGACAUAUAUAGUCCAACCAUAAAGAUUACUGAGUGUCGAAAAAAUAUUAUUCUGUACUUUGGCUAAGAUUUAUAAAUCAUGAGACUGAACUACAUCAAAAUAAAUGGUGUGAAGUGUAUGUAUCUUAAAGCUUUGCUUUAAAACAAUUCACUGCAUUACUUUGUUUAUGUUAUGAGUCUUUGUAUAAAGCAUCCUUUGGUAUGGGGGAGAAAGAGCGUCUAGCAAAGUUCUUUGUUGCAGAAUUGUGCCAACAUUUUAAAAAAACAUGUCAAAAUAAACCUGCCUAAAAUGGAAUGGCCAGAGUGAAGCACUUACACUUCAUAUGAAAUAUCAAUGCACCUAUGUGUAGCUGUGUGUUCACCGCAUGUUUGGAGGCCAGAUAUUCUUUCCGUGACUACUUCCUCUAUCUAACAUCGCAGGUUUAGUGAAGCACCACCGAAUUAAAAUCUUAAGCAAUUAGUCAUGUUGUUAUGUAGGGCCUACUGCCCUCAUGUGGUGAACCAACGUUUGACCACCCAUUGUGUUUUUACUCCGGCGUUUUAACUGUGAUUUCAAUAAUGACCUUCAAUGGACCAGCGAAACUCAAAUGGCU